CCUACGGGUGGCAGCAGUGAGGAAUAUUGGUCAAUGGACGAGAGUCUGAACCAGCCAAGUAGCGUGAAGGAUGACUGCCCUAUGGGUUGUAAACUUCUUUUAUAAAGGAAUAAAACGAGGCACGUGUGCCUUUUUGCAUGUACUUUAUGAAUAAGGAUCGGCUAACUCCGUGCCAGCAGCCGCGGUAAUACGGAGGAUCCGAGCGUUAUCCGGAUUUAUUGGGGUUAAAGGGAGCGUAGAUGGGUUGUUAAGUCAGUUGUGAAAGUUUGCGGCUCAACCGUAAAAUUGCAGUUGAUACUGGCAGUCUUGAGUACAGUUGAGGUAGGCGGAAUGCGUGGUGUAGCGGUGAAAUGCUUAGAUAUCACGAAGAACCCCGAUUGCGAAGGCAGCUUACUAAACUGUGACUGACAUUGAGGCACGAAAGUGUGGGGAUCAAACAGGAUUAGAUACCCUAGUAGUC
rnacentral:rRNA from 1 species